rnacentral:rRNA from 1 species
ACGUGAUCUGAGUUCAGACCGGAGUAAUCCAGGUCAGUUUCUAUCUAUAAAGAGCUUUUUCUAGUACGAAAGGACCGAAAAAACAUGGCCUAUGUGUCUCGCACGCCAUCACUGAUAAUUUAUGAUUUUGACUCAAUAAAUAUUCAGCCUUCCUCACCUCAAGAAAAGAGA